CCUACGGGAGGCAGCAGUGGGGAAUAUUGGACAAUGGGGGGAACCCUGAUGCAGCGACGCCGCGUGGGUGAAGAAGCGCCUCGGCGCGUAAAGCCCUGUCAGCAGGGAAGAAAGUGACGGUGCCUGCAGAAUAAGCCGCGGCUAACUACGUGCCAUCAGCAGCGGCAGUACGUAGGGGGCAGCCGUUAUCCGGAUUUACUGGGUGUAAAGGGGGCGCAGACGGCGAUGCAAGACAGGAGUGAAAGCCCGGGGCCCAACCCCGGGACUGCUUUUGGAACUGCGUGGCUGGAGUGCAGGAGGGGUAGGUGGAAUUCCUGGUGUAGCGGUGAAAUGCGUAGAUAUCAGGAGGAACACCAGUGGCGAAGGCGGCCUGCUGGACUGCAACUGACGUUGAGGCCCGAAAGCGUGGGGAGCAAACAGGAUUAGAUACCCCUGUAGUC
rnacentral:rRNA from 1 species